rnacentral:lncRNA from 1 species
AUUAAAGAGCCCUGUGACAUGAGAGUCAACAUUCCAGAAUAAGGCAGCACAUUUUCAUACUAAAAAGAAUGACCAAAACAUAUCACAAUCUUACUUGUCGUCGUUUGGUGAGUUGUCUUCUCGUCUGGGUUAAGCAUAUCUUUUUUCUUCCGAGAAGAAGCCCGCCUCUUUGCGUUUAUAUGUUCCCUUUGUUCUUCAGUCAAGGUGUUUUUGCGGACAAUUGGAGGUAUUCGUCUUGUUUCUUUGCUAUUGUUCAAGACAGCUCCUCCUGUGAUGUUAGUUGGUGUGUCAUAUUAGUUGGGUUAGCUAUUUGAACAAAGGAAACAAUCCAUCUUACUAAAAAGACAGUACCCAUGUACAAUGCUAACUCAUUAGGUUGAAACUUAAAAUAGAUAAGAAGGCUACCUGAUAUCGUAAGGGGAUCCACAUUUUCAUCUUGAUUAAGGGUACAUGAUAAUGACAACGAUGCAUCAUAACAAGCUUGCAUGUUUGAGGUUACAAGCUUAUUUUUUCUGUCACUCAACAUUUCAUUGCGUCCAAUUGGCGGUGUCUGCCUUGGUUGUUUAAUAUUUUCCAUGUCACCUCCUGGUGUCAUACGAAAAUUAACGCAUGUGGUACUAUCAUGAAGAUGAAACAUAAAUUUUUAUCGUCCAUCAACAACCUACAUAAGAGAACCCAUAGCAUGUUUUCAAAAAGUGUACCUCCUAUCACAUGGCAAGGUUGAUGAACAGUCGUGAUAUCAUUAAAGAGCCCUGUGACAUGAGAGUCAGCAUUCCCGGAUGAGACCACAAUUUUCAUACUAAAAAUAAUGACCAAAACAUAUCACAAUCUUACUUGUCGUCGUUUGGUGAGUUGUCUUCUCGUCUGGGUUAAGCAUAUCUUUUUUCUUCCGAUAAGAAGCCCGCCUCUUUGCGUUUAUAUGAUCCCUUUGUUCGUCAGUCAAGGUUAAGCAUAUCUUUUUUCUUCCGAGAAGAAGCCCGCCUCUUUGCGUUUAUAUGUUCCCUUUGUUCUUCAGUCAAAGUGUUUUUGCGGACAGUUGGAGGUAUUUGUCUUGUUUCU